AGAUUGAACGCUGGCGGCAUGCUUUACACAUGCAAGUCGAACGGUAACAGGCCGCAAGGCGCUGACGAGUGGCGAACGGGUGAGUAAUGUAUCGGAACGUGCCCAGUCGUGGGGGAUAACGCAGCGAAAGCUGCGCUAAUACCGCAUACGAUCUAUGGAUGAAAGCGGGGGACCGUAAGGCCUCGCGCGAUUGGAGCGGCCGAUAUCAGAUUAGGUAGUUGGUGGGGUAAAGGCUCACCAAGCCAACGAUCUGUAGCUGGUCUGAGAGGACGACCAGCCACACUGGGACUGAGACACGGCCCAGACUCCUACGGGAGCAGCAGUGGGGAAUUUGGACAAUGGGCGCAAGCCUGAUCCAGCCAUGCCGCGUGUGUGAUGAAGGCCUUAGGGUUGUAAAGCACUUU
rnacentral:rRNA from 1 species